CAGGUACCCAUUAGGCAGUCAGAGAGGCUGAGUGAUCAUGACUUCAUCAAUGAUCAUAUCCAAAGACAGGGUAGUAUAUGUGGAUGCCCACUAAACUAUCAGUAUCUGAACAUCCUCAAAAGGUGGUUACCAAGGAUGACACAAGUAACAUUACAUCAAAAUAAAAACAAAAACAUGUCUCUUUUCAGGAUCUCUUCUGGGCAAAAUCCAACUGAAAUCCUGUAGUAAAAACUUGGAAGGGUAAAGUGGAGGAUACCAGAAAGCUACAGUGCAUGGAAGAAUACAAAGGAAGGAAGUGGAUGCCUGGGGCAUGAUGUAACAUUUUCUGCAGUGGUAACUUUGGUACAGUUUUUGUUUGUUUGGUUUCUCCAUAAAGAAAAUUGUUAAAAAAUUUAUAUAUUAUUUUUAUUUCCUCA